GCCGGGCGUGGUGGCGGGCGCCUGUAGUCCCAGCUACUCGGGAGGCUGAGGCAGAAGAAUGGCGUGAACCCAGGAAGCGGAGCUGGCAGUGAGCCCAGAUCGCGCCACUGCCCUCCAGCCUGGGUGACAGCGCAAGACUCCGUCUCAA
rnacentral:SRP_RNA from 1 species